UGCAGGCGAGUCAGAUUCCAUCCUUUCAUGGGAGCUGGCCCAGAUGGCUGCUACAGCAAGCUCUGCUGCUCACUGGGGACACUUACAACUAGUAACCUUUAUAACUCUUGGAACUCAAGUGACAGACAGUU